rnacentral:rRNA from 1 species
UACAGAGGUCCCGAGCGUUGCUCGGAAUCACUGGGCGUAAAGCGCACGUAGGCGGACUCUUAAGUCGGUGGUGAAAUCCUGGAGCUCAACUCCAGAACUGCCUUCGAUACUGAGAGUCUUGAGUCCGGGAGAGGUGAGUGGAACUGCGAGUGUAGAGGUGAAAUUCGUAGAUAUUCGCAAGAACACCAGUGGCGAAGGCGGCUCACUGGCCCGGUACUGACGCUGAGGUGCGAAAGCGUGGGGAGCAAACAGG